rnacentral:rRNA from 1 species
UACGAAGGGGGCUAGCGUUGCUCGGAAUCACUGGGCGUAAAGCGCACGUAGGCGGGUCGUUAAGUCGGGGGUGAAAUCCUGGAGCUCAACUCCAGAACUGCCUUCGAUACUGGCGAUCUUGAGUCUGGGGGAGGUGAGUGGAACUCCGAGUGUAGAGGUGAAAUUCGUAGAUAUUCGGAAGAACACCAGUGGCGAAGGCGGCUCACUGGCCCGGUACUGACGCUGAGGUGCGAAAGCGUGGGGAGCAAACAGG